rnacentral:rRNA from 1 species
GACGAACGCUUGCGGCGUGCCUAAGAAAUGCAAGUCGAGCGAGCUCAAGCCUUCGGGCGGAAAGCUAGCGGCGAACGGUCGAGUAACACGUGAGCAACCUGCCCCAAAGCGGGGGAUAGCCCACCGAAAGGUGGAUUAAUACCGCAUGUGGCCGUUCCGGGGCAUCCCGGGACGAUUAAAGCAGCAAUGCGCUUUGGGAUGGGCUCGCGGCCUAUCAGCUUGUUGGUGGGGUAACGGCCUACCAAGGCUACGACGGGUAGCUGGUCUGAGAGGAUGGUCAGCCGGAUUGGAACUGAGACACGGUCCAGACUCCUACGGGGGGCAGCAGUGGGGAAUCUUCCACAAUGGGCGAAAGCCUGAUGGAGCGACGCCGCGUGAGCGAAGAAGGCCUUCGGUUGUAAGACUCUGUCUGGAGGGACGAAGGAAGUGACGGUACCGUCCGGACGGAAGGCCACGGCUAACUACGUGCCAGCAGCCGCGGUAAUAGUACACGUCG